UACGAAGGGGGCUAGCGUUGCUCGGAAUCACUGGGCGUAAAGCGCACGUAGGCGGCUUUCUAAGUCAGGGGUGAAAUCCUGGAGCUCAACUCCAGAACUGCCUUUGAUACUGGGGAGCUCGAGUCCGGAAGAGGUGAGUGGAACUCCUAGUGUAGAGGUGGAAUUCGUAGAUAUUAGGAAGAACACCCAGUGGCGAAGGCGGCUCACUGGUCCGGUACUGACGCUGAGGUGCGAAAGC
rnacentral:rRNA from 1 species